rnacentral:lncRNA from 1 species
AUGUUGGAGUCCAAGAGGGUAGGGGAUGGAAGUGGCUGAGUCAGGAUUUGAACCCAGGGCAUGGUGUUUCUCAACAGGGUUGGCACCGGGAUUCUUGUUGAGAUGAUUUGUCACUGGGUAGGACUGUCCUAUGCAUUUUAGGUGUUUGCUAUCCCUGGCCCUGUCCCCUGAAUGCCCAGGUGUCCUGCAAUCAUUGUGCUAACCAGAAGCAUCCCAUGUAUUCCUAGUGGUCUCCUAGGGACCAGGAGGAAAGAGACCUGAAAGGGGUACUUUGAGGCUGUACUGCCUUUCUUGGCAGGAGGCCUGAGGCCCCCCAGUCCUUGAGUCUCAGCUGUGAAGCAGGGUGCUCCCCAGUGUCUCGGCUGGGACC